UACGAAGGGGGCUAGCGUUGUUCGGAAUCACUGGGCGUAAAGCGCAUGUAGGCGGGCUAUUAAGUCGGGGGUGAAAUCCCAGGGCUCAACCCUGGAACUGCCUUCGAUACUGAUGGUCUGGAGUAUGGAAGAGGUUGGUGGAACUGCGAGUGUAGAGGUGAAAUUCGUAGAUAUUCGCAAGAACACCAGUGGCGAAGGCGGCCAACUGGUCCAUUACUGACGCUGAGAUGCGAAAGCGUGGGGAGCAAACAGG
rnacentral:rRNA from 1 species